UACGAAGGGGACUAGCGUUGUUCGGAAUCACUGGGCGUAAAGCGCACGUAGGCGGAUGUGUCAGUCAGGGGUGAAAUCCCGGAGCUCAACUUCGGAACUGCCUUUGAUACAGCACGUCUUGAGUCCGAUAGAGGUGGGUGGAAUUCCUAGUGUAGAGGUGAAAUUCGUAGAUAUUCGCAAGAACACCAGUGGCGAAGGCGGCUCACUGGCCCGAUACUGACGCUGAGGCACGAAAGCGUGGGGAGCAAACAGG
rnacentral:rRNA from 1 species